rnacentral:rRNA from 1 species
UGCCAGCAGCCGCGGUAAUACUGAAGGUGCAUGCGUUAAUCGGAAUCACUGGGCGUAAAGGGUGUGUAGGUGGCGACAUUAGUCUUCUGUUAAAACCCUCGGCUUAACCGAGGAGAUGCGGAAGAAACGGUGUCGCUAGAGGAUGCAAGAGGUCUAUGGAACUCACGGUGUAGGGGUGAAAUCCGUUAAUAUCGUGGGGAACACCAAAGGCGACGGCAAUAGACUGGUGCAUUUCUGACACUGAGACACGAAAGCGUAUGUAGCGAACGGGAUUAGAUA